GACGAACGCUGGCGGCGUGCUUAACACAUGCAAGUCGAACGGAAAGGCCCUGCUUUUGUGGGGUGCUCGAGUGGCGAACGGGUGAGUAACACGUGAGUAACCUGCCCUUGACUUUGGGAUAACUUCAGGAAACUGGGGCUAAUACCGGAUAGGAGCUCCUGCUGCAUGGUGGGGGUUGGAAAGUUUCGGCGGUUGGGGUUGGACUCGCGGCUUAUCAGCUUGUUGGUGGGGUAGUGGCUUACCAAGGCUUUGACGGGUAGCCGGCCUGAGAGGGUGACCGGCCACAUUGGGACUGAGAUACGGCCCAGACUCCUACGGGAGGCGGCAGUGGGGAAUAUUGCACAAUGGGCGGAAGCCUGAUGCAGCAACGCCGCGUGCGGGAUGACGGCCUUCGGGUUGUAAACCGCUUUCGCCUGUGACGAAGCGUGAGUGACGGUAAUGGGUAAAGAAGCACCGGCUAACUACGUG
rnacentral:rRNA from 1 species